CGAAUACAGCAAUUCCUUCUACAUUAACCAACAUAGAAAGCUUGAAAAGGUCCUACACAAAGGACAUCUGUCUCACCUUCCCCCAAGAUCCCUACCUGAGCUACGACCCACUAUAUAGCUAUGCCAUAUUCUGAAGUGCUGUACAAUGGGGAUUUCAGAAGGAAAACAUUACUAAAUACAAGAGCUACUCGAGAGAAACCUGCUUAUUGUUUUUAUAUUGGGACAGAGUUCCCCCUCAGCUGUCCAAUGACAUGGAAGUGGAAUAUUUAUGGCAAUGCCGUCCCUUUAACUAACCCAUCCUCCAUAGACCAUAAGUUAAUAGUAGAAUUAAUAUACUGCAGGAAAGAUCACAACUGCUUCCUUUAUAUUCAGAGUUCUAUCUACAUCACUUCUCACAUACCAGCUGUAAGGAGUGAGGUCAGUCUGAGGACUCAAUCUGCUAAUAGAAC